CAUGAAAUCGCUCUCUAAAUAAGAAAUAUUAUGUACCUAGUGUACAAUACAAGCAAAAGAAGCCGGCACAACUGAAUUUGCUGUUGUAAAGAUCACUUUUGUGAGCCAUCUGGCUGAUUUGUUACAGAGUUCUUUUACAGGAACGUCACGAUUUUGAUAUUUAAUCGACAGAAACAGCACUAUAUGGAGAAAAUGCCAUACUCCUGCGAUAACCCUAGGCAUCCAGAGGUUCUUUCCAGAAGACAUUUGCACCCAUUGCCGCAGACUUGAGCACAGGUUGUGGUUUUGAGGCAGACAUCAGUAGGUGGGAACAAGAUGUCAGUGUGGCAUGACUUGUAAGGAAAUAUAACUCGGAUCAGGCCUAAUGACAGCACGGCACAACAGGGCUGAGGGUGUACAAGCUCUUCACAGCAGGAGCCCUCACAGACCACAGAACUCAUGUGCCCUGGUGCUUGGCUGCUUUCUGUGCUUACAUCAGGUGGUUUACUGGAAGUUCUUACCCACAGCUGUGCCUUCCUGUAGCAUUUAAAUCUAGACUACCACAAGAUGUUCCAUUGCUCAACAGGCACUGCCCUCCCACUGCUGCUGUUUGCCAGACUUAAACAGAAGUUUGUGACAUAUCGAUUCCUCUGGUUUGCUCUCCUAAGUUUGGGAAGGACGCACUCAAAAGUUAAUUUGGAAAAAUAAAUAAAGGCAAAAGUUUCAAGGGCAAAAAGUUUCAAAAUAAAAAUCCACAUUUCAGAUUACUGAAAUCUAGUUAAUGAACUUUACAGCUGGGAUUUAUCAAGUUUCUCCUAACGGGAGAUGUGGAGCCACCCUGUUUUACAGUGUAUGUUCACUUAAAUCAGUCCAUAAUAAUCUCUAAGAUCCAUUUUUACACAGUUGAUGCCCAGAGAUCAUUAUUUCUGUCUACAACCAGAGUCUAUAAGCUCAAUUCUGGCAAAUAAGAGCUGGCUAAAAAGCACCAAUGGAGGUAAUACAAUAAAACUUGCAGGACUUGAUCAGUUUUAGGCCAGAGGCAAGUCUGGUAAUUGCAGAUUUGCUGCAUCCACUCAAAGACUCUCUCUCUCUCUCGUGCAUCCAGAUCUGUGCCUAUGCUAGAGAACAUCACAGAGUCAUGAGGAAGACGUGACUCUGAUGUGCUUUAUUUAAUUCUUGUUUAAGAAUACAGAAUACUGUUUUUACAUGUGUUCAAGGCUUUCUUUGUUUGCACAUACAAAGAAAACAUUGGUGCUUGUAAAUGAAACUGUCCACAUGUGUAACAGCAGUGCCUAUCAUGAAAUCACAGAAGAUGUUUGUUCCUAUGA